ACUACAAAUUGUUUUUGUCGAACGCAAAAAAUCUUCGAAUAAGCUAAACCGAGAAUAUGAGAAAAUCUCGAAACUCACGACUGGAUACGCUAUUUUGCGGCAACAAAAACUUGCCAUACGCUCGGCGAUAUCGAAUGUUAUCAAAACCGACACAAGUUGACAAAACUAUACAAUCCCCUGAAUCUUCGAUCCCUCAGUGCACAAACGGAAUCAAUGCACAAUAUGGGUUAUCGAAGAUAAAAAAAAUCAUGAUGUGUACGCGAAAUCCCAUUUAUCUCCAAAUUCAGUCGUCUCUGAUCAGCAGAAUAUAUCAUCGUAUUCUUCAGAAUUAUUAAGCGAAGAGUUAUGCAAAGAUCAAACGUCAGAUGAUGCCACUUGUACAAACAAUUAUAAUUCGGUUGCCUUCAGUGAUGCUGAGAACAGUUUCGAGUUUGCGAAAAAUGAAUCUGGGGAAAAUAUUCGGAAGAUGAAUCUAACUGAACCUGCACCGGAAUGCCCAAACCGCGAAGAAGAAGAGCAUUGUUACAAAAAUGAUUUACUUCAUCCACACCUUAGCAUCACCAAGAACGAAGUAUUGAUUAUGAUGAUGAACAUCUUCACGCAUCAUAAUCUUUCAAACAGUGCGCUUGAGGAUUUGCUUCGCUUGAUCAAUGUUAUUGUAGGAUAUUCGUCUCUUCCGAACACUUUUUACUCAUUCGUUUCACAUUUUGGAACACAACAAAUUGUGCGUCAUUAUGUUUGUACGAAAUGUGGUUUAUACAAAGAAAAUAACAAAGAAAUAUGCAACAUUUGUAAAAGCAGUGAAACUAACUUUUUCAUCUCAUUUGAUUUAGCUGCAAGUAUAAAGAGUUUGGUGAGGACUAAUUGGGAAAAAAUUGUAGCUUAUAAAUCAUCUUUAACUGAUGGAGAAUUUAGGGACAUUCUACAAGGAGAAGUAUCUCGCAAAAAGAAUAGUGCUUAUAACAUUUUGAUCUCGUUUAAUAUCGAUGGAGUAGCUGUGUUUAAUUCUAAUGUUAUCAUUAUGGCCCAUAUUAGUGACUAUUAAUAAUUUACCACCAUCUCUUAUAUUUUUGAGACAAAACAUUGUUGUUGCUGGGCUUUGGUUAUGAAAUAGUGAACCAGAUCUCGACGUUUUUAUGAAACCCUUUUACGAUCAAUUGAAAGAUUUACCUUACGAAGGAUUCUCUCUAUUUGAGAACAUUAUUUGCAAAGUUAUUGCCAUUUGUUGUUGUGUUGACAGUGUUGCACGUUGUAAACUUUAACAGAUCAAACAAUUCAAUGGAUACAAUGCAUGUAGUUUUUUUUUACAUCCUGGAUAUUUAACAGAAAGCAACCAGAUACAGUCAGAGCGAUGGAUUUGUGCAAGAAACGUGGUGUUCCUGUAAAUGGUGUCAAAGGAAUUUCAAAUUUGCUCUUGGUACCUUAUUUUGAUAUCAUAAACAACUGUCCGGUUGACUACAUGCAUGCAGUACUUCUUGGAGUUUGCAAACAGUUCUGUGGGCUUUGGUUCGAUUAUAGUGCCAAUAAAUAUUGUAUAAAACGGUAUACUGAAAAAGUUGAUAACAUUCUGUCAUCUAUACGAUCUUUUCAAGAAUGUUCAAGAUCUCCUAGAAAAAUGAUAGACAAAAAGACAUGGAAAGCAAACGAAUGGCAAAAUUGGUUAUUACUUUACUGCUCUGUGUGUCUAAAAGGUUUCUUACCUAAGAAAUAUUUCAAUCAUUUCCAACUCUUAGUGUUAGCAAUAGAAAAACUAUUGAACACAAAUGUUACUGAACAAGAUAUUCUAGAGAGUGAGAAAUUGUUGAAUGCUUUGUUCGAGGAUUGUGAAAUUUUAUACGGAAUUGGUGAAAUGAAGUACAAUGUUCAUUUACUUUUGCAUAUUCCGUAAGAAAUUUUGGUCCGCUGUGGGCAUUUUCACUUUUUUGCUUCGAGGAUAUGAAUGGAGUUUUGAAAAAAUUCAUUAAAGGUCCUAAACAACCCGUUAUUUAAAUUGCUAGACGAUGUCUUCUAGCACAAAAGAGAGAAACUAUAGAUCUUAAAUCAAUUAGAAACGAUAAAGUACGUGAAUUCUGUGAAUCUUUUAAUAAUUAUAAUCGAAAAAUCUCAUGUUUAAACAAUGACAUUAACAUUAAGAAUCAUGAAAGUGCACUUAACGAGCAGAUUCCACAACCAUCUUUUGAAGAACAUAAUUUUUGAUGAUGAUGAUGAUGGUCCCACCUCAUACCCCUACAAAGGUGUGAGCAGAACGAGUUAUCUAAAUGAUAAUUAAUAUUUUGCACAUAUCUUAACCAGUAAACAAAACAAAACGAUCUGAUCAAUCUAGCAGGUAUUGAUUUUUCUUCAAAAGAACGACUGACCACAAAAUAACAUUCAAAUAUUUCGGAUUUACUAUCCAGGGUUAAUCAAGAAAAUUUCCAACCCGGGAAGAUCCUUGAUCACAUCAGGAAUCGAACCCGAUAUCUUUACCAGUAUCAGACAGUAAUUCACCUGGCCCUUCCCGCCGGACCAGUUCAUCGCUACACACAUCAGCUACGAUGGAGUAACGAGACUGCGGAUGAGCAGAGCCAAGCCCAAUUCCAUCAACAACUGUCGAUCCCAAUUAAUCUCCCGAAUCAAUUCCUUAAAUUAUUAAUCAAACCUUGCGAUCAAGGUCAAGAGCAAACUUAACACACUGAAUGCUAAGGCUCUUCGGCCAGUCCUAUUCGCUUUCCAAAUAGUCACUACCUGCUUCGCGCGCGAGGCUCAAACGUUUGUAGACUGCUCAUUAUUUUUAACUCUCAAACAAACUAAAAAUCCAUCAUCAUCAUACCGAACAUAGUAACUUAAUUCGUCUCACAAUAAUAUAUAAAAAGAAAAAGAAAAUACAAUCUUCGUAAUACGUAAAAAAAUAAAAAAUCUAAAAAAUUUGAACUAACUAACUAAAUAUUUGCUUACAAAGCGGACUUUAUUUGUGAAAUACAUAACCUUUUGAACUCCACCAAUGUCGCCGCGCGCUUGAUUUCUCUUGGCAUCGAAUUGAAAAAACUUAUUCCCUUGUACAACAAUGAGUUUUGCGAUCUGGCUAACAGAAAGCUUGGUGUUCUAGCAUCAGAUGCGUUUCUAGUAUUGUACCUAUGCAAAUCAGUUCCUCUUUCAAUUCGAUCACACAAAUAUCGAGGCAGCAUGUCGUUUAAUAUCUUGAAAAUAAAUACCAUGGUUAAGUAGUAAAUUCUCUGUUUCACUGAAAGCCAUUGUAAUGCGUUCAGUAGAAAACCUGACGAGGUAUAUCUACUACAUUUUAGAAUUAAUCGCAUGAUUUUAUUUUGCAGUCGCUGUAAUCUCAAGAUUUGUGUGUUAUUAGCAAGAAACAGAAUGGAUGGGCAAAAGUCAAUGUGUGGUGAAAUGACUGUUUUAUACAAAAGAAUCUUACUAUGGGUCGUUAAGUCAUUUUUCAAACGACAUAAUACACCAUACUUUUUGGCAAUCUUCUUGAUGACGUUAUUGAUAUGAGAUUUGAAUGUUAACUUUUCAUCAAUUAUGACUCCAAGAUACAUCAUUUCUCUAACGCGAUCAAUAGUUUCACCAUCAAUUUCCACAUUGGCGUCAUGACCGAAAUGAUUCGAAAUAGAUAUAUAUUCAAACCAGUAAAGUUAUACAACGUAUCUAUUAUUCUGAUUUCGAUUCAUAUAUAUUAUACAAACCGAUAAUUGUUCAUAAAGAAGAAGGCCUAUUGAUAGGAAUAAUAACGACUAACGAAAACCUAGUAAAAGUAAAUGACUCUGUUAAGAAAUGCAUCCGGAUUUUUACAUCCAACAAAUUAUAUAUUAGGAUUGUCCAGUUUGUACCAUGGGUAGAUUAAAUAAUGUUUUAAUAUGUACACAAUUUUAUUUAGUCCUAAUUAAUCGCAGAAAGAAAUAUAUGAAAAACAAUAUUUUGUAUUGUUGCCAAAAAACUAUAUUUCUUGCUAAUUGAAAUACAACAAAAUGUAUUGAAACCAAUAGAAUUGACUGUUUACCAAUCGUUUCUCCUGUAAAAUCAAUGGUUAAUUUUUAUACGGGUGCCGCCACUUAAUUUCGGGUGAAAACUACCAACACAAUAAAAAAAUAGUCUAGAUGAACAACGUUGAGUCAAAUAAAUGGUUACCAUCCAACAUCGCGAAAAAGUUAAAUAUAUUAUCAACGUAAUCCAAUAAUUUAUUGUGACGAUUCAUUUUCAAAUAUUUUGAUGAAAUCAGGCAUCCCUGCAAGCAGCUGAUCGGUGUUGACAAACGAGGGGAAACCAACUAGUAAAAAAAACUUUUACAUAACACAAGGGGUGUACAGAUAGUAAAUAGUUCGCGCAGUACAAUAUAGGUGGAACUAGCAAAUACAAAUUAUAAUACGGAAUACUUCGACAAAUUUUCAAGGACACAUUUUGCAUCGUGCGGUACACUGUCAUGAUACACUGUCAGAGUGACAAUGUACUUUAACGAGUUUUCUAUAAAACUAGCAACA